AUUGAACGCUGGCGGCAUGCCUUACACAUGCAAGUCGAACGGCAGCACGGGUGCUUGCACCUGGUGGCGAGUGGCGAACGGGUGAGUAAUACAUCGGAACGUACCUUAUCGUGGGGGAUAACGCAGCGAAAGCUGUGCUAAUACCGCAUACGCCCUGAGGGGGAAAGCGGGGGAUCGAAAGACCUCGCGCGAUUAGAGCGGCCGAUGCCUGAUUAGCUUGUUGGUGGGGUAAAAGCCCACCAAGGCGACGAUCAGUAGCUGGUCGGAGAGGACGAUCAGCCACACUGGGACUGAGACACGGCCCAGACUCCUACGGGAGGCAGCAGUGGGGAAUUUUGGAUAAUGGGGGCAACCCUGAUCCAGCAAUGCCGCGUGAGUGAAGAAGGCCUUCGGGUUGUAAAGCUCUUUUGUCAGGGAAGAAACACCGGCUCUAACACAGUCCGGGAAUGACGGUACCUGAAGAAUAAGCACCGGCUAACUACGUGCCAGCAGCCGCGGUAA
rnacentral:rRNA from 1 species